rnacentral:rRNA from 1 species
UACGAAGGGGGCUAGCGUUGCUCGGAAUGACUGGGCGUAAAGGGCGCGCAGGCGGCUCUGAAAGUCAGAUGUGAAAGCCCCGGGCUUAACCUGGGAACUGCAUUUGAUACUCUAGAGCUUGAGUACGGGAGAGGAGAGUGGAAUUCCCAGUGUAGAGGUGAAAUUCGUAGAUAUUGGGAAGAACACCGGUGGCGAAGGCGGCUCUCUGGACCGUAACUGACGCUGAGGCGCGAAAGCGUGGGGAGCAAACAGGG